GGUUAAGCGACUAAGCGUACACGGUGGAUGCCCUGGCAGUCAGAGGCGAUGAAGGACGUGCUAAUCUGCGAUAAGCGUCGGUAAGGUGAUAUGAACCGUUAUAACCGGCGAUUUCCGAAUGGGGAAACCCAGUGUGUUUCGACACACUAUCAUUAACUGAAUCCAUAGGUUAAUGAGGCGAACCGGGGGAACUGAAACAUCUAAGUACCCCGAGGAAAAGAAAUCAACCGAGAUUCCCCCAGUAGCGGCGAGCGAACGGGGAGCAGCCCAGAGCCUGAAUCAGUGUGUGUGUUAGUGGAAGCGUCUGGAAAGGCGCGCGAUACAGGGUGACAGCCCCGUACACAAAAAUGCACAUGCUGUGAGCUCGAUGAGUAGGGCGGGACACGUGGUAUCCUGUCUGAAUAUGGGGGGACCAUCCUCCAAGGCUAAAUACUCCUGACUGACCGAUAGUGAACCAGUACCGUGAGGGAAAGGCGAAAAGAACCCCGGCGAGGGGAGUGAAAAAGAACCUGAAACCGUGUACGUACAAGCAGUGGGAGCACGCUUAGGCGUGUGACUGCGUACCUUUUGUAUAAUGGGUCAGCGACUUAUAUUCUGUAGCAAGGUUAACCGAAUAGGGGAGCCGAAGGGAAACCGAGUCUUAACUGGGCGUUAAGUUGCAGGGUAUAGACCCGAAACCCGGUGAUCUAGCCAUGGGCAGGUUGAAGGUUGGGUAACACUAACUGGAGGACCGAACCGACUAAUGUUGAAAAAUUAGCGGAUGACUUGUGGCUGGGGGUGAAAGGCCAAUCAAACCGGGAGAUAGCUGGUUCUCCCCGAAAGCUAUUUAGGUAGCGCCUCGUGAAUUCAUCUCCGGGGGUAGAGCACUGUUUCGGCAAGGGGGUCAUCCCGACUUACCAACCCGAUGCAAACUGCGAAUACCGGAGAAUGUUAUCACGGGAGACACACGGCGGGUGCUAACGUCCGUCGUGAAGAGGGAAACAACCCAGACCGCCAGCUAAGGUCCCAAAGUCAUGGUUAAGUGGGAAACGAUGUGGGAAGGCCCAGACAGCCAGGAUGUUGGCUUAGAAGCAGCCAUCAUUUAAAGAAAGCGUAAUAGCUCACUGGUCGAGUCGGCCUGCGCGGAAGAUGUAACGGGGCUAAACCAUGCACCGAAGCUGCGGCAGCGACGCUUAUGCGUUGUUGGGUAGGGGAGCGUUCUGUAAGCCUGCGAAGGUGUGCUGUGAGGCAUGCUGGAGGUAUCAGAAGUGCGAAUGCUGACAUAAGUAACGAUAAAGCGGGUGAAAAGCCCGCUCGCCGGAAGACCAAGGGUUCCUGUCCAACGUUAAUCGGGGCAGGGUGAGUCGACCCCUAAGGCGAGGCCGAAAGGCGUAGUCGAUGGGAAACAGGUUAAUAUUCCUGUACUUGGUGUUACUGCGAAGGGGGGACGGAGAAGGCUAUGUUGGCCGGGCGACGGUUGUCCCGGUUUAAGCGUGUAGGCUGGUUUUCCAGGCAAAUCCGGAAAAUCAAGGCUGAGGCGUGAUGACGAGGCACUACGGUGCUGAAGCAACAAAUGCCCUGCUUCCAGGAAAAGCCUCUAAGCAUCAGGUAACAUCAAAUCGUACCCCAAACCGACACAGGUGGUCAGGUAGAGAAUACCAAGGCGCUUGAGAGAACUCGGGUGAAGGAACUAGGCAAAAUGGUGCCGUAACUUCGGGAGAAGGCACGCUGAUAUGUAGGUGAGGUCCCUCGCGGAUGGAGCUGAAAUCAGUCGAAGAUACCAGCUGGCUGCAACUGUUUAUUAAAAACACAGCACUGUGCAAACACGAAAGUGGACGUAUACGGUGUGACGCCUGCCCGGUGCCGGAAGGUUAAUUGAUGGGGUCAGCGCAAGCGAAGCUCUUGAUCGAAGCCCCGGUAAACGGCGGCCGUAACUAUAACGGUCCUAAGGUAGCGAAAUUCCUUGUCGGGUAAGUUCCGACCUGCACGAAUGGCGUAAUGAUGGCCAGGCUGUCUCCACCCGAGACUCAGUGAAAUUGAACUCGCUGUGAAGAUGCAGUGUACCCGCGGCAAGACGGAAAGACCCCGUGAACCUUUACUAUAGCUUGACACUGAACAUUGAGCCUUGAUGUGUAGGAUAGGUGGGAGGCUUAGAAGUGUGGACGCCAGUCUGCAUGGAGCCGACCUUGAAAUACCACCCUUUAAUGUUUGAUGUUCUAACGUUGACCCGUAAUCCGGGUUGCGGACAGUGUCUGGUGGGUAGUUUGACUGGGGCGGUCUCCUCCUAAAGAGUAACGGAGGAGCACGAAGGUUGGCUAAUCCUGGUCGGACAUCAGGAGGUUAGUGCAAUGGCAUAAGCCAGCUUGACUGCGAGCGUGACGGCGCGAGCAGGUGCGAAAGCAGGUCAUAGUGAUCCGGUGGUUCUGAAUGGAAGGGCCAUCGCUCAACGGAUAAAAGGUACUCCGGGGAUAACAGGCUGAUACCGCCCAAGAGUUCAUAUCGACGGCGGUGUUUGGCACCUCGAUGUCGGCUCAUCACAUCCUGGGGCUGAAGUAGGUCCCAAGGGUAUGGCUGUUCGCCAUUUAAAGUGGUACGCGAGCUGGGUUUAGAACGUCGUGAGACAGUUCGGUCCCUAUCUGCCGUGGGCGCUGGAGAACUGAGGGGGGCUGCUCCUAGUACGAGAGGACCGGAGUGGACGCAUCACUGGUGUUCGGGUUGUCAUGCCAAUGGCACUGCCCGGUAGCUAAAUGCGGAAGAGAUAAGUGCUGAAAGCAUCUAAGCACGAAACUUGCCCCGAGAUGAGUUCUCCCUGACUCCUUGAGAGUCCUGAAGGAACGUUGAAGACGACGACGUUGAUAGGCCGGGUGUGUAAGCGCAGCGAUGCGUUGAGCUAACCGGUACUAAUGAACCGUGAGGCUUAACCUU
rnacentral:rRNA from 1 species